rnacentral:rRNA from 1 species
AAGACCUUGCGCUUUUGGAGCGGCCGAUGCCUGAUUAGCUAGUUGGUGGGGUAAAAGCUUACCAAGGCAACGAUCAGUAGUUGGUCUGAGAGGACGGCCAGCCACACUGGGACUGAGACACGGCCCAGACUCCUACGGGAGGCAGCAGUGGGGAAUUUUGGACAAUGGGCGCAAGCCUGAUCCAGCAAUGCCGCGUGAGUGAAGAAGGCCUUCGGGUUGUAAAGCUCUUUCAGUCGAGAAGAAAAGAUUGUGACGAAUAAUCACAAUUCAUGACGGUAUCGACAGAAGAAGCACCGGCUAACUACGUGCCAGCAGCCGCGGUAAUACGUAGGGUGCGAGCGUUAAUCGGAAUUACUGGGCGUAAAGCGUGCGCAGGUGGUUUUGUAAGUCAGAUGUGAAAUCCCCGGGCUUAACCUGGGAACU